rnacentral:rRNA from 1 species
GACGAACGCUUGCGGCGUGCCUAAGAAAUGCAAGUCGAGCGGGGAGUAAGAUUUCGGUUUUACUUCUAGCGGCGAACGGUCGCGUAACACGUAAGCAACCUGCCCCGAAGACCGGGACAACAUCUCGAAAGGGGUGCUAAUACCGGAUGUGGCCAUUUGGUGGCAUCACCGAAUGAUUAAAUCCAGCAAUGGGCUUCGGGAGGGGCUUGCGGCCUAUCAGCUAGUUGGUGGGGUAACGGCCUACCAAGGCGACGACGGGUAGCUGGUCUGAGGGGACGGCCAGCCGGACUGGGACUGAGACACGGCCCAGACUCCUACGGGGGGCAGCAAUUAGGAAUCUUGCGCAAUGGGCGAAAGCCUGACGCAGCGACGCCGCGUGGAGGAGGAAGUCCUUCGGGAUGUAAACUCCUUUUUCCAGGGAAGAAUACAAUUGACGGUACCUGGUGAAUAAGCCCCGGCUAACUACGUGCCAGCCGCCGCCGUAAUAC